rnacentral:rRNA from 1 species
AUUGAACGCUGGCGGCAUGCUUUACACAUGCAAGUCGAACGGCAGCGCGGGCUUCGGCCUGGCGGCGAGUGGCGAACGGGUGAGUAAUACAUCGGAACGUGCCCAGCUGCGGGGGAUAGCUCGGCGAAAGCCGGAUUAAUACCGCAUACGACCUGACGGUGAAAGCGGGGGAUCUUCGGACCUCGCGCUCUUGGACCGGCCGAUGGCCGAUUAGCUAGUUGGUGGGGUAAAGGCCUACCAAGGCGACGAUCUGUAGCUGGUCUGAGAGGACGACCAGCCACACUGGAACUGAGACACGGCCCAGACUCCUACGGGAGGCAGCAGUGGGGAAUUUUGGACAAUGGGCGAAAGCCUGAUCCAGCAAUGCCGCGUGUGUGAUGAAGGCCUUCGGGUUGUAAAGCACUUUUGGCGGGAACGAAAAGGACUGUGCCAAUACCACGGUGCGAUGACGGUACCCGAAGAAUAAGCACCGGCUAACUACGUG